GAAUCCAACCCAAUUUAAAUAACUAGAUUAGUCCAUAUACUCCCUCCCACCUAUCGUCUCUAGCUUCCUCUCACUAAAUCAGACCCUUUCUUCCCCAAAUCACAAAUUAGAGAAAUUCUCCCCCAAAUCGGAGUUUCCGUCGAUCAGCCGAUCCGCCGGCGGUGUUCCCUCCUCGUCGUCGUCUCUCUCUCUUCUCUCCCUCUUUUCUCUCUUUCCCCUCUCUCUUCCGAUACAGAUCUCCGUCUCCCCCCACUCCGCUGCCGUCGACCUCAGGCCCGCCGUCACGCCACCACCGCCGACGCCGACCCCCUUCCGGAUUUGUCGGGGCUGAGAGCACAGCGGCUCGCCGCAGCGGGCUCUCUCUCUCUCUCUCUCGGUUUUCCCCCUUUUACCGCCGGCAUGCACCACCGACGCCGUUUUCCGACAGGUUUUAAAGAAUGAAACAGUGACGAAUUUUUAGAGCGUGGGCUGUCACCGUCGGCGACGGAGUGCCGAGCUUGCUGCCUGAAGUCCCUCCGGCAGAUUCAUAUUUUAGUCUAAGAUAAGCCUCUGUUCUUUUUGCUAGGAAGUGCUAUUUCUAUGUUCCUUGCUACAAGUUGCUAUUUCUAUGUUCUUUGCUAUAGUUGUUAAGUUGGUACUAUUUGGCAGAGACUAAAUCUUGCCUAUAAGCAUAUGUUGGAUGCAUGUUUGUAAUUUGGGCAGGGCUAUGUUUUUCUUAUAUCUAGUGUUGCACUGUGUGGGAGAAAGAAGUAAGAUGUUGUUGUACUCACCUUUGUGAAAAAGACUUGUUAGAUGUGAAAUAGACUUGUUGGAUCUCCCUUUGUGAGGGGACGUCCUCUUCCUUUCCUUGAUGCGUUGGAAUGAUUCUGGAGAAGAGUAAUGUUUGGUAGGAGGUGGGUAGUGAAAUGAAAUGGCUGGUACGUAUAUGUGGGUAGACAAGUGGUCUGAGAGGAUAUGAUUCUUCUGACAGCAUUCUGAAAAAAAUCGAUCCUCUAGGAUCUGCCUCACCCUUUUUUUUAAAAAUUUAUUUGUAUUAAAUUAAUUAUUUAGGAUAUUUAUUAAUGUAGUUGUUUGAUUUGGUGCAGGAAAAACCCGGUUCAAGCUCGUGGCUUUGGCGUAGGAAAACAAAUAACAUCCCCAGUUAUCCCUGAUGAUGUACCGGACUUUCUUGGAGUACGAGUACGAUCGUUGAACGGGCUGCGUGAACUUUUCCCUAAUUGUAAUACAUUAGGAUUUUAGAUAACAUGAUUCUAUCGGGCUUCGGAUGGAUAUGCCGAACACUAUAAACUUUUUAUUAUUUAUAAUUCCAAAAGCGAUUAUUAUAAACAUUGCAACAAUCACUUAUUAUUA